UACAGAGGGUGCGAGCGUUAAUCGGAGUGACUGGGCGUAAAGGGCGCGUAGGCGGUUGUAUAAGCUGGAUGUGAAAUCCCUGGGCUUAACCUAGGAAUGGCAUCCAAGACUGUAGAACUGGAGUACUGUAGAGGGUAGUGGAAUUUCCGGUGUAGCGGUGAAAUGCGUAGAGAUCGGAAGGAACACCAGUGGCGAAGGCGGCUACCUGGACAGAUACUGACGCUGAGGCGCGAGAGCGUGGGGAGCAAACAGG
rnacentral:rRNA from 1 species